rnacentral:rRNA from 1 species
AACGAACGCUGGCGGCAGGCUUAACACAUGCAAGUCGAACGGCAGCACGGGAGCUUGCUCCUGGUGGCGAGUGGCGAACGGGUGAGUAAUGCAUCGGAACGUGCCCUGAAGUGGGGGAUAACGUAGCGAAAGUUACGCUAAUACCGCAUAUUCUGUGAGCAGGAAAGCAGGGGAUCUUCGGACCUUGCGCUUUUGGAGCGGCCGAUGUCGGAUUAGCUAGUUGGUGGGUAAAGGCCCACCAAGGCGACGAUCCGUAGCGGGUCUGAGAGGAUGAUCCGCCACACUGGAACUGAGACACGGUCCAGACUCCUACGGGAGGCAGCAGUGGGGAAUUUUGGACAAUGGGCGCAAGCCUGAUCCAGCCAUGCCGCGUGAGUGAAGAAGGCC